UGUCAGCUUUAGUUGAAACUUACACAUGCAAGUAUCCGCGCCCCUGUGAGAAUGCCCUACAGUUCCCUACUUGAGAACAAGGAGCUGGUAUCAGGCACAAACACUUUAGCCCAAGACGCCUUGCUUAGCCACACCCCCAAGGGAACUCAGCAGUGAUAAAUAUUAAGCUAUGAGUGAAAACUUGACUUAGUUAUGACUAAGAGAGCCGGUAAAACUCGUGCCAGCCACCGCGGUUAUACGAGAGGCCCAAGUUGACAGAUUUCGGCGUAAAGCGUGGUUAAGGAGCACACUAAACUAAAGCCAAAUGCCCUCAAAGCUGUUAUACGCUCACGAUGGCCAGAGACACACCCACGAAAGUGACUUUAUUAUACCUGAACCCACGAAAGCUAUAAAACAAACUGGGAUUAGAUACCCCACUAUGUCUAGCCAUAAACAUUGAUAGAACGCUACAACCACUAUCCGCCCGGGUACUACGAGCAUAAGCUUCAAACCCAAAGGACUUGGCGGUGCUUUAGAUCCACCUAGAGGAGCCUGUUCUAUAACCGAUACUCCCCGUUAAACCUCACCUUUUCUUGUUCAUCCCGCCUAUAUACCGCCGUCGUCAGCUUACCCUUUGAAGGACCCAUAGUAAGCUCAAUUGGCACAGCCCAAAACGCCAGGUCGAGGUGUAGCGUAUGAAGAGGGAAGAAAUGGGCUACAUUCAAUCUCACAUUGAAUUACGAAGAGCAGGCUGAAAUGCCUGCUUGAAGGAGGAUUUAGUAGUAAGCAGAAAAUAGAGUGUUCUGCUGAAAUAGGCUCUGAAGCGCGUACAUACCGCCCGUCAUUCUCCCCGAAAAUCAGCAAUAACUUUCUUAAAGCCCCUAUAUUAAUAAAGGGGAGGC
rnacentral:ncRNA from 1 species